rnacentral:rRNA from 1 species
AUAUCAAUAAGCGGAGGAGAAGAAACUAACAAGGAUUCCCCUAGUAACGGCGAGUGAAGCGGGAACAGCUCAAAUUUGAAAUCUUACUGUUUUGCAGUACGAAUUGUAGUUUAGAGAAGCGUUUUCGAGGUCGACACUUAGUACAAGUUCUUUGGAACGAGACAUCAUAGAGGGUGAAAAUCCCGUCUUUGACUAAGUGUUUGAUCUUAUGUGAUACGUUUUCCAAGAGUCGGUUUGUUUGGGAAUGCAGACCAAAAUGGGUGGUAAAUACCAUCUAAAGCUAAAAUAUUGGCGAGAGACCGAUAGCGCACAAGUA